UCUCCAAGACCGACCGGAGCCGCACACGAGUCGGACGGGGAGCCCAUCGAAGGGGAUGGCUCUGGCCAGAUUAGCGGUUUCCAUCUUCCUCCUCCUCGCUGCGGCGGACUUGGCGGCAGCGACGCGGUCGCCGUCGGCCUUCGUGUAGGACGCCAUCUACUCCAACCCCAUCACCAUCUUCUCCAAAACCUACUGCCCGUACUCCAUGCGUGUUAAACAUAUAUUUCGAGAUCUCAAGGAAGAUCAAUAUGUUGUUGAGCUAUAUCUCCGAGGGACAGUCGUGAAAUCCAAAGUGUUCUUCUAGACCUAGUUGGGCGUCAUACUGUGCGGCAGGUGUUUGUGAAUGGCCAGCAUAUUGGUGGCUCAGAUGGUACAGCAAAUUCUCUUCAAAUGGUCAGCUUCAGAAACUUCUUGGUAAGAGUCAGUCGCAGUGACGAUCCCUGGACAAAGCUUCGCACUGUCAAGAACACAUAAGUGACUAAUGUAUACAUGGUUCCCAUGGGAGGGGCUUUCUUUUCUGUCUAUUAUCUUAGGAUAACAAAGUUAAAAGGAGCAAUACCCUUUGCUCUCGAGGCCUGGAAAUUAUCACGUUAAUCGUAAGAAAACGUGAACAAUCUACACCUCUUGAUUGUCGUGGCCCCAUGUUAAAACAAUUCAGAUCUCGAUUAGAUAUAAACAUUACAAUCCA